rnacentral:rRNA from 1 species
GGAUUAGAUACCCUGGUAGUCCACGCCCUAAACGAUGGGCACUAAGUGUCGGCGGGUUACCGCCGGUGCCGCAGCUAACGCAGUAAGUGCCCCGCCUGGGGAGUACGGCCGCAAGGUUGAAACUCAAAGGAAUUGACGGGGGCCCGCACAAGCGGUGGAGCAUGUGGUUUAAUUCGACGCAACGCGAAGAACCUUACCCAGGUUGGACAUGCUCGUGGUACGAACCUGAAAGGGCGAGGACCUCGAAAGAGGAGCGAGCUCAGGUGCUGCAUGGCUGUCGUCAGCUCGUGCCG